rnacentral:snoRNA from 1 species
GAGUGGUUGAAAAAUGAUGAGUUGAGUAUACAAAAUCUUGAUUUAUAUAAGUGAAAAAUUACAAGAUCCAACUCUGAUUUCAGCCAGAG